GCAUAUCAUUAAGCGGAGGAAAAGAAACUAACCAAGGAUUCCCCUUAGUAGCGGCGAGCGAAGCGGGAAGAGCUCCAAUUUGAAAAGCUGGCGUCCUACGGGCGUCCGCAUUGUGAUCUAUAGAGGCGUUUUCUGUGCUGGACCGUGUCCAAGUCCCUCUGGAACAGGGUAUCAAAGAGGGUGACAAUCCCGUACUUGACACUGACAACCAGUGCUCUGUGAUACGUCUUUCUACGAGUCGAGUUGUUUGGGAAUGCAGCUCAAAAUGGGUGGUGAAUUCCAUCUAAAGCUAAAUAUUGGCGAGAGACCGAUAGCGAACAAGUACCGUGAGGGAAAGAUGAAAAGCACUUUGGAAAGAGAGUUAAACAGUAUGUGAAAUUGUUGAAAGGGAAACGAUGGAGGUCAGUCGUGUCUGUGGGAUUCAGCCGUCUCUGGCGGUGUACUUCCCACAGACGGGUCAACAUCAGUUUUGGCUGGCGGAAAAGGCAGGAGGAAGGUGGCACCCCCGGGUGUGUUAUAGCCUCUUGUUGCAUACGCUGGCUGAGACUGAGGAAUGCAGCUCGCCUUUAUGGCCGGGGUUCGCCCACGUUCGAGCUUAGGAUGUUGACAUAAUGGCUUCUCUGACCCGUCUUGAAACACGGAACCA
rnacentral:rRNA from 1 species